GGUUCUAUAGUGUAGUGGUUAUCACGUUGGCUUCACACGCAAAAGGUCUCUGGUUCGAAACCAGACAGAAACA
rfam:Poecilia formosa, whole genome shotgun sequence.